AGAGUUUGAUCCUGGCUCAGGAUGAACGUUGGCGGUGUGCCUAAUACAUGCAUGUCGAACGAAGAUGAUAGCAAUAUUGUCUUAGUGGCGAACGGGUGAGUAACGCGUUGGUGACCUGCCCCGAAGUGUGGAAUAACAAUUCGAAAGAAUUGCUAAUACCGCAUGUGAUCUUGGAGAUUAGAACCUCUUUGAUUAAAGGAUUUAUUCGCUUCGGGAGGGGCCUGCGUCCCAUCAGCUAGUUGGUAGGGUAAUGGCCUACCAAGGCUUUGACGGGUAGGGGACCUGAGAGGGUGGCCCCCCACAAUGGAACUGAAACACGGUCCAUACACCUACGGGUGGCAGCAGUAGGGAAUAUUAGUAAUGGGCGAAAGCCUGAACUAGCAACACCGCGUGUGCGAUGAAGGCCUUCGGGUUGUAAAGCACUUUUCGGGAGGAUGAGGAAGGACGGUACUCCCGGAAUAAGUCUCGGCUAACUACGUGCCAGCAGCCGCGGUAAAACGUAGGAGGCGAACGUUAUCCGGAUUUACUGGGCGUAAAGCGCGUGUAGGUGGUUUGGUAAGUAGGGCGUGAAAGCUCCUGGCUCAACUGGGAGAGGUCGUUCUAAACUGCCGAACUAGAGGAUGGUAGAGGGAGGUGGAAUUCCGG
rnacentral:rRNA from 1 species